rnacentral:rRNA from 1 species
CCUACGGGGGGCUGCAGUGGGGAAUAUUGCACAAUGGGCGCAGGCCUGAUGCAGCCAUGCCGCGUGUGUGAAGAAGGCCUUCGGGUUGUAAAGCACUUUCAGCGGGGAGGAAGGCGGUGAGGUUAAUAACCUCAUCGAUUGACGUUACCCGCAGAAGAAGCACCGGCUAACUCCGUGCCAGCAGCCGCGGUAAUACGGAGGGUGCAAGCGUUAAUCGGAAUUACUGGGCGUAAAGCGCACGCAGGCGGUCUGUCAAGUCGGAUGUGGAAUCCCCGGGCUCAACCUGGGAACUGCAUUCGAAACUGGCAGGCUAGAGUCUUGUAGAGGGGGGUAGAAUUCCAGGUGUAGCGGUGAAAUGCGUAGAGAUCUGGAGGAAUACCGGUGGCGAAGGCGGCCCCCUGGACAAAGACUGACGCUCAGGUGCGAAAGCGUGGGGAGCAAACAGGAUUAGAUACCCGAGUAGUC